GAUCCUGGCUCAGAUUGAACGCUGGCGGAAUGCUUUACACAUGCAAGUCGAGCGGCAGCACGGGGGGCAACCCUGGUGGCGAGCGGCGAACGGGUGAGUAACACAUUGGAACAUGCCCAGUCUGGGGGAUAACACUUCGAAAGAAGUGCUAAUACCGCAUACGUCCUGAGGGAGAAAGCGGGGGGAUCGCAAGACCUCGCGCGAUUGGAGUGGCCGAUGUCAGAUUAGCUAGUUGGUGGGGUAAAGGCCUACCAAGGCGACGAUCUGUAGCUGGUCUGAGAGGACGACCAGCCACACUGGGACUGAGACACGGCCCAGACUCCUACGGGAGGCAGCAGUGGGGAAUUUUGGACAAUGGGGGCAACCCUGAUCCAGCCAUUCCGCGUGAGUGAAGAAGGCCUUCGGGUUGUAAAGCUCUUUCAGCAGGAACGAAACGGCGAGCUCUAACAUAGCUCGUUAAUGACGGUACCUGAAGAAGAAGCACCGGCUAACUACGUG
rnacentral:rRNA from 1 species